ensembl:lncRNA
GUUUUUCUGCAAAAGUUUGAUUCCAAUAUAGAAUUUAUUAACUCAGCUACGUGACCUGGCAGGUUCUGUAAAGGAGUGUUAUUCGGGUGCAUGUGAAAGACUUUGGAUUAGAGCGCUAUCAUUUUUCCGCCGAAGAGCUCAUAGUUUUAUCUGGGGUGUGUCUGUGUGUAUCCAGGUAAGCAGGGCAUGACCAGCUUCAGCUAUGAAAGCAAUAACAAGCUAUAAAAGCAGUGCAUGCACCCGGCCUGAGACAGUCACAUUAGGGACACGAGGACAUUGGAUUAUCUGGAAUCUAAAUGAGCAUUAGGAGCAGCUUCGUUCUGAUGUCACACCACAUUCUCAGUGAGCGCUUACAGGCUAUAUGGUUGUUAAACCCUAAAGAAUGGAUUUACAGUACGAGACCGGGGACACGCUGUAAAUAUAUUGCAGAAGUGAACUUUGUCUUUGAAGACUGAAGAAUAGAGAAGGGAAUAGAAGAACUUCAUUAGACGUUGAUCUCUGCGGCUGUGAGGUGCUGCUUAUGUUUCACUCCAGGCUUUCUGACUGAACACCAAGGUCACCAACGCAACAGCUGAUCUCACAGACAGCUGUAACACGCACCAGAAGAUAGCAUUACAGUCUCCCUGUGGAGCAGAAACAGGUUGAAUGUCCCCCAGAGGACUCGAUGUGCUACUGGGUGUUACUGAAAUCUUAAAAGUGCUUUGUCCCAGUCGCUGAGAUCAUGUACGUGCUGUGCACAAUGCUGGUGCUGUCCAUACACAGCCUGCUGAGAAGACAGAAGGCUGUGAAACUUCAUGAAGGCGAGACAGCAGAGUACGACGAGAAACCGAGCAAAAAAUCACCGUAUACACAGUGCAGGAAAGUGGGAAAUCCUGUCAGGGGCCGAACCCAGGGCCGACGCAGGUCAUGCACCACCACCAAGCUGGAGGAACUUGAGCACAGAAAGAGAGCCCAGUGACAUUAUUAAAGCCAUUGAUAACAUCACCAGCCAGAAUGAUGAACUGACUUCAGCUUCUGUGAAAAAAAAAACAGCUGUGGCAUGAAAAAUGGAGUAGACAUCGGUUGAGCGAUGCAUUCGGAGUAUCCGGCAAAGAAUGGGUUGGAAGUGCAUGAAAACCCAGCACUGUCCCGUGAUCACAGACAAAAACAGAGAUUCGUCUCCAGCAAGCACAAAAGUGGAUCAACGAGGCGGAGAUGUUUCACGACGUCAUCUUCACUGAUGAAACAGCAGUGGCUUUGGAGCACUUUGCCACCAUGUCUUUCCAUAAGACAGGGAGACAUUUCUACAAACCAAAGCCACAACACCCCUGAAUGCUCAUGUGUGGGGAGCAGUAUCCAGACCAGCACCGGGGUCUACUGCAAGGGGUAAUGGAUCGUUCGAUGCUAUUAUAAAAGAAACAGCAGCCAUAUAUUAAGGAUAACUUUGGAGAAUACCACCAUUUAUUUUUUUGUUUUUGUUAGUUUUGGGUUUUUUCCCCCCUCCCCAGGACAAUGAGCCUAAGCACACUGCCGCGAGAAGAGUCAUUGCUAAAGAGGGUAUAA